rnacentral:rRNA from 1 species
AGUGAACGCUGGCGGUAGGCCUAACACAUGCAAGUCGAACGGCAGCACAGUAAGAGCUUGCUCUUACGGGUGGCGAGUGGCGGACGGGUGAGGAAUACAUCGGAAUCUACUUUUUCGUGGGGGAUAACGUAGGGAAACUUACGCUAAUACCGCAUACGACCUACGGGUGAAAGCAGGGGAUCUUCGGACCUUGCGCGAUUGAAUGAGCCGAUGUCGGAUUAGCUAGUUGGCGGGGUAAAGGCCCACCAAGGCGACGAUCCGUAGCUGGUGUGAGAGGAUGAUAAGCCACACUGGAACUGAGACACGGUCCAGACUCCUACGAGAGGCAGCAGUGGGGAAUAUUGGACAAUGGGCGCAAGCCUGAUCCAGCCAUACCGCGUGGGUGAAGAAGGCCUUCGGGUUGUAAAGCCCUUUUGUUGGGAAAGAAAAGCAGCAGGUUAAGACCCCGCUGUUCUGACGGUACCCAAAGAAUAAGCACCGGCUAACUUCGUG